CGAAGUUGUUUUGUAGUAACGAGCAUCAAGACGAACCGGUUGGAGGUCGUUUUGGUGUAUUUCUCUGCUGCAAAAAUGUGGACAGCAGCGUUUUGGUGGUGUUCAGCGAUUUCCUUCAUCCGUUCGAAGCCCGAUUUACGCUACCCACACCUUUGCAAGCUAGAUGUAAGUUACCCACACCUACACGAGGUCAACUUUGCGGUGUGAACAGGGCCGACCGUGGUGAUGACGCGAAGGGGGUUUGACCGAGGAGGGAUCACUAGAUGAGUCGGUUAGGAUUAUGGAAAAUGUCGUCCAUCACGAGUAGCGUUAGAAUUUGUUGCUAUGGAGAUACUAGGCGUUUUGUCAACCCGAGGGUCAUUUUUUUUAUUUUAUUGUUUUACGGAUAUUAUUGCUAUACGUGUCACUGUUGUUCGUUGAAGUUUUAGUUAAACGAUUGUUUCUUUUUAAUUAAGAUUCCUAGCCACUGAGGCCGACAUGAGAUGUAUCUUUUGGAAUUGUCCACGAAGGGCGAUUAUUUGAUAAUCUAUAGGUUUGAUAUCAUUGGUAAAA